UGGAGGAUUCAUGUUUGCCUU
rnacentral:siRNA from 1 species